rnacentral:pre_miRNA from 1 species
CUUUAUUGAGUCCCUACUAUGUUCCAGGCACUGGGUAUCAUAGGUGCCUGGAACAUAGUAGGGACUCAGUAAAG